rnacentral:rRNA from 1 species
UACGAAGGGGGCUAGCGUUGUUCGGAAUUACUGGGCGUAAAGCGGGUGUAGGCGGAUCUUUAAGUCGGAGGUGAAAGCCCAGGGCUCAACCCUGGAAUUGCCUUCGAUACUGGAGAUCUGGAGUGUGGGAGAGGUGAGUGGAGUUCCGAGUGGAGAGGUGAAAUUCGUAGAUAUUCGGAGGAACACCAGAGGCGAAGGCGGCUCACUGGACCAUGACUGACGCUGAGACCCGAAAGCGUGGGGAGCAAACAGG